UAAGAAUAACCUAGAAUGUACUGGCAGGAACGAGGGGAGCGUGAUGGGAACUGGAUUUUGGUGGUGUCUAAUCAAGAGAGAUGGCAGGUAAGACUGGACAAGCAAGAAUUCAUGAAUUUAGGGACAUAUUCUCAGGACCACAGGAGAUAUAAUACCCCACUGAGGACUCUUGAGGAUGGAGUGACUCUUAGAAGCCUGGAAAAAACAAUGGCCAAUUGAAAGUGUAAUGGAAACACCUGAGUUGCCCAAGCGGAUGGAAGAGAAAGGAACAAAGAAGUUGACAGAGGAAAUGUUCUAGAAUGGAUAUAUUAUGUAAGAACUACUAGUAGUCUGUGUUCCAUAGGGCACAUCACUCACCAAGGCUAUUACAGAAGGAAUAUGAAGAUGAGAGAGCAUCUGCUUCACUAAGAAGUUCAGUGGUGGCUUUCUUCUACAGACUAGAGCUGACAUCAGGAGAGGCAGUCUUGGGUUUCCAGAUGAGCUAAUUUACAAAUCCAGAACCCCAUGGAGAGAAGAGGUGGCUGGGUCCAUAGAAGAAAGGACAUCUUGAAACAUCUUGAAAAGUGUAUAAAAUGAUCCUCAAAGGGA